UACGUAGGGUGCAAGCGUUAAUCGGAAUUACUGGGCGUAAAGCGUGCGCAGGCGGUUUUGUAAGCCAGAUGUGAAAGCCCCGGGCUCAACCUGGGAACGGCGUUUGGAACUACAAGACUAGAGUGCGUCAGAGGGGGGUGGAAUGCCGCGUGUAGCAGUGAAAUGCGUAGAUAUGCGGCGGAACACCGAUGGCGAAGGCAGCCCCCUGGGAUGACACUGACGCUCAUGCACGAAAGCGUGGGGAGCAAACAGG
rnacentral:rRNA from 1 species